UACGUAGGGUCCGAGCGUUGUCCGGAGUUACUGGGCGUAAAGGGCGCGUAGGCGGUAGCACAAGUCAGUUGUGAAAUCUCCGGGCUUAACUCGGAAAGGUCAACUGAUACUGUGCGACUAGAGUGCAGAAGGGGCAACUGGAAUUCUCGGUGUAGCGGUGAAAUGCGUAGAUAUCGAGAGGAACACCUGCGGCGAAGGCGGGUUGCUGGGCUGACACUGACGCUGAGGCGCGAAAGCCAAGGGAGCGAACGGG
rnacentral:rRNA from 1 species